AAAGUAGUGUGCAGCCAAGGAUGACUUGCCGAUUUAAAUGAUCUUUCUUUAUACUCUAUUAAGACAUUUUAAGUUUCAAAUUUCUUUGGUUCUUCAAGGAUUAAGGAAGAAAGUAGGCUAUAUAUGUAGAUAUAUAUAUUAUGCUGUAUUAAAUAUAUGUACAAGAUAAGACCAAAAAAGAAAAAGUAACAAUCAUGAUCGGCAAGUUGUCCUUGGCUACACGUUACUUUGU
rnacentral:pre_miRNA from 1 species